CGUUAUGCAAAUACUGAUGUCUUCAAACUCGUGAGAUCACUUCCAAAUGAGCAUGUGCAAAGGUAUCUUGCAUUGAGAAAUGCAGCCGUUACUCUGAAAUAACUUGCAAGAAUUCGCCUUGACAAUGCUAGCCUGCUCCUGUUUCUGUUUCUGCAUGAGAUAGGGUAGAGCUAUUAAAUAGUUUAGCUCGAAGAGAUGCAUAUUUAUUGUUACUUGUGAUCUGUACUGUGGUGAGAGUAAACAUGAUUAAUUGCACCGAACUAUGUUUUGGAAUUUGUCAGUAUGGCUAAUUUGAUGUAAACCAAUCAGUGUCUGUAGCUUAGGUAACUGGAUCAUUUAUGGAUCUUGACCUUUUGGCAGGCUUGCUAUAUCAUGCAGUUGAUAGGUUCUUGAAUUGUGCAUGGCAUUAAAAACUAGUGCAAUUGCCUAUGAAAUCAUCUCCAUCCUUGCUCCCAACAUUCUAUGUUUUUCCACUUGAAUUACUUCAUUGCCUAUAGCUCUCGGUUUUGUUGGCUGAGUUUAUACAGAAACCCACCUUUUGUUUGGUUAACG
rnacentral:lncRNA from 1 species